rnacentral:rRNA from 1 species
GACGAACGCUGGCGGCGUGCCUAAUACAUGCAAGUCGAGCGAAGUUUUUCUGGUGCUUGCUCUAGAAAAACUUAGCGGCGAACGGGUGAGUAACACGUAAAGAACCUGCCUCAUAGACUGGGACAACUAUUGGAAACGAUACCUAAUACCGGAUAACAGUAUUUCUCGCAUGAGAGAUAUUUAAAAGUUUGUUAUGCUAACACUAUGAGAUGGCUUUGCGGUGCAUUAGCUAGUUGGUGGGGUAAAGGCCCACCAAGGCGACGAUGCAUAGCCGACCUGAGAGGGUGAUCGGCCACACUGGGACUGAGACACGGCCCAGACUCCUACGGGAGGCAGCAGUAGGGAAUCUUCCGCAAUGGGCGAAAGCCUGACGGAGCAACGCCGCGUGAGUGAAGAAGGAUUUCGGUUCGUAAAGCUCUGUUGUUAGGGAAGAAUGGAUAUGUAGUAACAAGACGUGUAAGAGACGGUACCUAACCAGAAAGCCACGGCUAACUACGUG